UUAUUAUGAGAGUUUGAUCCUGGCUCAGGACGAACGCUGGCGGCGUGCCUAAUACAUGCAAGUCGAACGCUUCUUUCCUUCCGAGUGCUUGCACUCAAUUGGAAAGAGGAGUGGCGGACGGGUGAGUAACACGUGGGUAACCUACCCAU
rnacentral:rRNA from 1 species